GGGGCGCGGGGGCGCCGCCUGCAGGGGACCGGCUCGGGGUGGCAGCGCCGGGCGGCGCCCAGGCCUAGGGGCUCUGGGCCUGGCCCGCGGGACGCGAGCCCAGACCUGGGGCUGAUGGUGAUUGGAAGAGGACUGCCAGAAGGAUCUGGAAAGCAGAGUUUUCCUGUGAAAAGCAAAGAUCCUUUACCUACACAUUUUACAAGAAAUGUACAGAAAGCCAUUGAUAAAUAUACCCGUGAAUCCGUGUCGUCAUUUUCAUCAAAUGGAAACCCCAUGCCCACAGAAGCUCCCAACUCCUGGUCUGGGUCUGGGACACAGAGUUCAACCACAGGCUUAUCAACCGAGAGGAGCUCCAUUUACUCUUGGAGAGAUGAUGAGUUUGACAAAGCCAAUGCACAGAAAGUACAGCAGUUAUUCUGGGAGGUCGAGGAAAUGUUAUUUGAAGGGAAAGUAAGCCCUCAGACCCAGAAUCUACGGGCUGAAUGCAGUGAGUGGGCAAGAAGGUCCCUCCAUCUGAGAGUAUUAGGAAGACAGCUUGUCCUGCCCACUGAUGAAGGGGUCCAGCAUUUUCAGGGUAGCAAACCUGCUUCUGCCGUCCACAGACCCUUCUCUGACGACUGUGAACCCAGCAGCAACAUCAGAGAGCUGUGCAUCUCUGGCUCUCAAAUAGUCCCGGCGGCACUCUCAGCCCUCACCCUGCCAGGUCCUGUUGGCACAGGGAUUGCGGACCUCACGGCAUGUUCAUCACUGGAAGAAGAAGUUUAUGAUGUGGAUGGGAAGAUUGAAGAGUAUUUCGCUUUUGACAGAAAAGAAGAUGACGAGGACUGUCUUGAACAAAACCCAGCUCAGCACCACAGGACGUGGCAUAAGCACGGACUUCCUCCUGUUUCCCCACAUGACUGUGUCAGAGACGCGGUGGCUGCAGAAGUGUUUGAUCACAUCUGGACAGCUGUGGUGGAAAUACUGGAAAAGCUGACUAGAAAAAACUGGGAAGUUACACUCACAGAAGGAAAAAAACAGAAAGAAAAAUUGAAAGUAGCUGAGAAUAAAUCUCCACCUAUGGUCGUUUCCUGUAUUAAUGCUGAUGUGUCCAGUGUUCCCCCGUCCAGAAGUUCUGAAACUCGAAGUGUAUCCCUGGCUUCUCAUCUUAACCCACCUCAGAUUCAUCGCUUCUCCAAUAAUUUUUAUAGUGACUUGAAUGGUGUGAUGACAAUUCAAGCAAAACCGCUUCAGCAGAGACCUACUUACUUUGCAGACAGAACACAGAGUGAGCAAGAGGACAGAUCUCUGGGUUUAGGGGCCGGUGCUCUUGCCUCGGCCCAGCACCGUCUGGCAAGGAUCUUGGAGGCUCGCGGACUACAGACUUCUGCAAAGAAAACACCGGCAUACAGGAGGCUGCCUUCUCUUACCUCAGAAUCACAGCGAAUAAAAAUCCCCAGCGUGUACAGUGAUGAAGUUCUUAGGGGAACGAAACUGCAAACUGGCGUGGACCGCACGGCCUCCCCACCAGUUCAGACCUCAAGGAGCAGGUUGCCACCAAUAGGCUCAGAGACUGGGGAGCAGAAUAUGGCAGUUCCCGGAUGGCGUCCUGUUUCUUCAGAUACACCCCGAAAACGUUCAUUGACACUGAGGGAAUUUGCUGGUCACACAUGGACAGGUCAAGGUUUUUUGACAGGUCGGUGUUCUCCAUAUACAAAUAAAAUGAUGUAAUACGUGAAGUUUCAAGUUUUGGAAAGAGAAAUUGGAGAUUAUCGACCUUGAGAGGACAAUUUUGACCAAGAGUUUGUCAUCUAUGGCUAUAUCUCAGGAAUCUCCAUAAAGAGCAAAACUGCAAAGACAAGCACUUCUCUGCUGUUGGUUAAAAAAACAAAAAGUAACUGAGUAAAUCUGAAGAUCGAAGUGGUUUUGGUUCACAAUUUCCACCUAAAUCUUUUCAGAGGACAACUUUGACUUUCAGAAAGAGAUUCCAAGUGGCGUGUUGAUGUGACUUCACCAGGACUGCAACACCUGCUGAAGCAUUCAAAGCCUCGGUACACCAUUUAUCACGUGAAAAAUACAAGAAGUAUUGUUAUAUCUCUGUCUGACAGUCUGAUAUGUUCGACUACCUGGGAGAAAUGCAAACAAAUAAACAACUUAAUUUUGAACA